CUCCAUCCAGGUCCUGGGCAUGGGGAGCCUGACGUUUUGAAGGAUGAGCUUCAACUCUAUGGAGAUGAGUUUUUCCAUUUCGUCCUCCUGUGCUUUGCCAUCGGGGCCUUGCUGGUGUGUUAUCACUAUUACGCAGACUGGUUCAUGUCUCUUGGGGUCGGCCUGCUCACCUUCGCCUCCCUGGAAACCGUUGGCAUCUACUUCGGACUAGUGUACCGUAUCCACAGCGUCCUCCAAGGCUUCAUCCCCCUCUUCCAGAAGUUUAGGCUGACAGGGUUCAGGAAGACUGACUGAGGCCACUUCCAGGUGGGCAGCAGAGGCAGGCCCCAGUGUGACCACCACUGCGACCCCUGAGCCCACAAGGGCAGAGCAGCAUUCUGAGAGACGCACAGGAGACCAAGCCAGACCAAUAAACAGAACACUUUUCCUUC
rnacentral:lncRNA from 1 species